rnacentral:rRNA from 1 species
UUUUCGAAUCAUUCACAAUGGGCGAAAGCCUGAUGGUGCGACGCCGCGUGAGGGAUGAAGGUCUUCGGAUUGUAAACCUCUGUCACUGGGGAAGAAACGCUUUGAGUUAAUAGUUCAAAGCCUGACUUAACCCGGAGAGGAAGCAGUGGCUAACUCUGUGCCAGCAGCCGCGGUAAUACAGAGACUGCAAGCGUUAUUCGGAUUCACUGGGCGUAAAGGGUGCGCAGGCGGCCGUGUGUGUGAGGUGUGAAAUCCCGGAGCUUAACUCCGGAACUGCGCCUCAAACUACACGGCUAGAGCAUUGGAGAGGGAAGUGGAAUUCACGGUGUAGCAGUGAAAUGCGUAGAUAUCGUGAGGAACACCAGUGGCGAAGGCGACUUCCUGGACAAUUGCUGACGCUCA